rnacentral:rRNA from 1 species
UACGGAGGGUGCGAGCGUUGUCCGGAAUCACUGGGCGUAAAGGGCGCGUAGGCGGCUCGUUAAGUGGCUGGUGAAAUCCCGGGGCUCAACUCCGGGGCUGCCGGUCAUACUGGCGAGCUGGAGCACGGUAGAGGCGGAUGGAAUUCCCCGGUGUAGCGGUGGAAUGCGUAGAUAUUGGGGAAGAACACCGGUGGCGAAGGCGGCCAAACUGGACCACAACUGACGCUGGAGGGCGCGAAAAGCUGGGGGAGCAAAACAG